rnacentral:lncRNA from 1 species
UCUUCAUCCACAGGGAGCAGUCCUCUCACAUCUUUCAAGACCAGAUGGAGGAGGAAGACACAGAAACUCCUUAGAGAUAAAAAGCCUAACAAGAAACUUGAUGCAUUAUGCAUGUCAAUAUAGAUACAUAUUUUUCAUACCAUUUCAUGCUUAAUCUCCUUUUCGUAUUUUAGAAAAUUAUCACCAAAUUCAUGUAAUUUAAAUCACAUGCAAAUCACCAAGUGCCUAUAUAAUCUUAUAACAUGUUUUAUCAAGUAAAAUUCACUU